rnacentral:rRNA from 1 species
UACGGGGGGGGCAAGCGUUGUUCGGAAUUACUGGGCGUAAAGGGCUCGUAGGUGGCCAACUAAGUCAGACGUGAAAUCCCUCGGCUUAACCGGGGAACUGCGUCUGAUACUGGAUGGCUUGAGUUUGGGAGAGGGAUGCGGAAUUCCAGGUGUAGCGGUGAAAUGCGUAGAUAUCCGGAGGAACACCGAAGGCGAAGGCAGUGUCCUGGCUGGUGACUGACGCUGAGGUGCGAAAGCUAGGGGAGCGAACGGG